rnacentral:rRNA from 1 species
GACGUAGGGCGCAAGCGUUGUUCGGAAUUACUGGGCGUAAAGGGCUCGUAGGCGGCCAACUAAGUCAGACGUGAAAUCCCUCGGCUUAACCGGGGAACUGCGUCUGAUACUGGAUGGCUUGAGAUUGGGAGAGGGAUGCGGAAUUCCAGGUGUAGCGGUGAAAUGCGUAGAUAUCUGGAGGAACACCGGUGGCGAAGGCGGCAUCCUGGACCAACACUGACGCUGAGUGAGCGAAAGCCAGGGGAGCAAACGGG